AUACGGAGGGUGCAAGCGUUAAUCGGAAUUACUGGGCGUAAAGCGCGCGUAGGUGGCUAAGUCAGUCAGAUGUGAAAGCCCCGGGCUCAACCUGGGAACUGCACCUGAUACUGCUUGGCUAGAGUACAGGAGAGGGUGGUGGAAUUUCCUGUGUAGCGGUGAAAUGCGUAGAUAUAGGAAGGAACACCAGUGGCGAAGGCGACCACCUGGUCUGAUACUGACACUGAGGUGCGAAAGCGUGGGGAGCAAACAGGAUUAGAAACCCCGGUAGUCC
rnacentral:rRNA from 1 species